rnacentral:tRNA from 1 species
GAGUCGGUAGCUCAGUGGAGAGCGCGCCGGUCCGCGAAGCCGGAGGCCGCAGGUUCGACUCCUGCCCGAUUCA